GCCCAGCUGGCUCAGUUGGUAGAGCAUGAGACUCUUGAUCUUGGAGCUGUGAGUUCGAGCCCCACACUGGGUG
rnacentral:tRNA from 1 species